UACGAAGGGUGCAAGCGUUGUUCGGAUUUAUUGGGCGUAAAGCGCGCGUAGGCGGACCUGCAAGUCAGAUGUGAAAUCUCGGGGCUCAACCCCGAAACUGCGUCUGAAACUACAGGUCUAGAAUCUUGGAGGGGGAAGGGGAAUUUCGCAUGUAGGGGUAAAAUCCGUAGAUAUGCGAAGGAACACCAGAGGCGAAGGCGCCUUCCUGGACAAGUAUUGACGCUGAGGCGCGAAAGCGUGGGGAUCAAACAGG
rnacentral:ncRNA from 2 species